rnacentral:rRNA from 1 species
UUAUGGCUCAGGAUGAACGCUAGCGACAGGCUUAACACAUGCAAGUCGAGGGGCAGCAUAAAAGUAGCAAUACGUUGGUGGCGACCGGCGCACGGGUGAGUAACGCGUAUGCAACCUACCUAUCAGAGGGGAAUAACCCGGCGAAAGUCGGACUAAUACCGCAUAAAACAGGGGCACCGCAUGGUGAUAUUUGUUAAAGAAAUUCGCUGAUAGAUGGGCAUGCGUUCCAUUAGGUAGUUGGUGAGGUAACGGCUCACCAAGCCGACGAUGGAUAGGGGAACUGAGAGGUUGGUCCCCCACACUGGUACUGAGACACGGACCAGACUCCUACGGGAGGCAGCAGUGAGGAAUAUUGGUCAAUGGGCGGGAGCCUGAACCAGCCAAGUCGCCGUGAAGGAAGAAGGAUCUAUGGUUCGUAAACUUCUUUUGCAGGGGAAUAAAGUGCAGGACGUGUCCUGUUUUGUAUGUACCCUGAGAAUAAGGAUCGGCUAACUCCGUGCCAGCCGCGGC